rnacentral:lncRNA from 1 species
UGAGCACCUAUUGUGUGCAGUGCACUGCGGGAAUAUGAGGAAGUAGCAGCACAGAAAGGGCACUGAGCUCCAACACCAAUGGAUCUGGAUUCUAAUUCCAGGUGUGCCACUGACUAAUUUUGUCAGCUUGGGCAAGGCAGCCGCCUGGCCUCAGUUUCUUCUCUGCAAAAUAGUUGAGCAGAGCGUGACCAACCGUCCCAGGGUGCCUGGGAUUCCCAGUUUUGGCACAGAAAGAUCUGUGUUCCCAGAAACCUCUCAGUACCAGAAAAGGAUCCUCGGAUGACAAAUCGAGAGGGAAGAAAGCGGCGCUCAAGGUCUUGAGUGGAUUUACCACACUGUCGGUGAUUUAGCCUGUUCGGUCUGAAACUCUUGCUGUAAAGUGCUGUUCCCAGCG